ensembl:lncRNA
GUAAAUUUUUAAAAAAUGCACACACAUAUAGGUUCCUCAGAAUGCAUCUCCCACUCUACACUUGAUCUGUUUACGUCUGUUUGGUUGAGUGCAAGAUUUUUUUUUUCUUCUUCUUCUUCUUCCCAUCAACAUGGUGCUGCUCCUGCUUUCCUUCCAACAUGUGAUGGUUUUAAGAAAAAAAGAAAACGUCCCACAUUUCCACCGCUUUGAGAUCUUAACCAUUAUGAAAUUGGAUUUCCUAAGGUUUCACUGAAUUUAAAAAAAACAAAACAAAACAAACUUUUACAAUAAUUCUCAUCCGCCUCUGUACACAUAUUGUUUCCUCCUUAUUUUAACAACGAUAGGUUGAGUUUCUAAUGUUGCCAUGGCGAUAAAAUGGCACCAUCCCAAAACCGAACAUCACUUUUUCAUUUCAGACCAGAACCUUUUGAGAACCUUUUGUGCUGGAAAUGAGCAACACGGUUCAAUAAUGUUGGUGUGUGGACCUGACAGCUCUUUCAUAUAGUGUGUGUGUGCGUGUGUGUGUGUGUGUGUUCUCAGAUGACUUUCUGGAUCAUUCUUCCUCCUCUGAUAUGACUGACCUUAUGGAGCAGAUUAAUAACAGCUUUCCAACCUGUGCUCCACCGAGCCUGUCCUCAAGAUCACAGGCGAUGUGAGGGCUGCUAAUGACCUCGAAGUAAGAAGCGUC